rnacentral:rRNA from 1 species
GACGAACGCUGGCGGCGUGCUUAACACAUGCAAGUCGAGCGGUAAGGCCCAGCUUGCUGGGUACACGAGCGGCGAACGGGUGAGUAACACGUGGGUGACCUGCCCCGCACUUCGGGAUAAGCCUGGGAAACUGGGUCUAAUACCGGAUGUUCACAUGGUCUCGCAUGGGAUGGUGUGGAAAGUUUUUUCGGUGUGGGAUGGGCCCGCGGCCUAUCAGCUUGUUGGUGGGGUGAUGGCCUACCAAGGCGG